rnacentral:misc_RNA from 1 species
GAAAAUAAAUUCAUUGCGGUGAGGAUUAGUACGCAGUUACUGCUGAGCCAUAGUUCCUAAGUUGUCGAAGUUUCUCCGGUCGCGUUUUACAUAUACCAAAAAGAGAAAUCAUACGAAUUUGUCACGUGUUGGGUGCAGUACCCAGUUUUUAAUGAGUAAUAUUAACUCAGGAAGUGGUGUACAGUUGGAUAUAUAUUUUUUGAAAAGGUGCUUAGCAAUCAGUAUCUAAUAAAAGACCUAUAUCGUUGAAAAUUUUGUGAAUUCCGUGACUGAUUGUGAGAAAUUUUUCCAUAAGCAGUAAAUUAUACUUCACAAACGCCGGAGUUGCCUGGUUCUUUGCGAUACGGAUCCAUUUUCAACUACCAUACCUACGCUGUGCUGAAAAAUUCGUCUGAAGGCUUUCAAUUGGUCAUCACGGUGCCUAGUUCGUCGCAGUACUCAUUCAACGUCCAACCACGAAGGGCAGGAGUUAUACAUGGCCUCGCACAAUUCGUUUACAGGUAUGCAAUAAGCAUCAGUCAGUAUAAUAUAAGUUGGUGCGUUAUAAAAAUAUAUUCAAUUUAAUAUAUUAUAACGUCACAUUGGCAGUAAUAUAUUAACAUAUAAUAUAAUAUAACAUAGAAUUAAUAUAUUGACAUAGAAUAUAAUAUUGGUAAUAAUUUAUUCUUAUAUUACACGUCAUUAUUAUUUCACUUUUCGUAUGUUUUAGGUAUCCGGAGAU